rnacentral:rRNA from 1 species
AUGUACGACUCAGAGACACAUACUUGGACACCCCUUCCCAGCAUGAAUAGCGCUAGGUACAGAUGCUCUGCCGCGUUCAUGGACGGCAAGUUCUAUGUGAUCGGUGGUCUUAGCAGUAGCCACGAGUUAUUGACAUGCGGUGAGGAGUAUGACUUGAACCAGCGGUCAUGGAGGCUCAUCGACAACAUGUCUCAGGGGCUCAACGAGACAGAUGAGGGAGCCCCUCUGUGCCUUGCAGUUGUCAACAAUGAGAUUUAUGCUGCUGAUUACAGAGAGAAUGAUUUGAAGCAGUAUGAUAAGCUGGACAACAAGUGGAUCACUCUUGGAAAAUUGCCUGUACAGUCUAAGCAAGGGGGCAGGGACAUGGGUUUCCGAGCAUGUGGUGACCGGCUGACUGUUAUUGAGCCUCCAAACAAUUCUAGUGAUGAAAAGGUGGUUGAGCUUCAUUCAUGGACCCCGGAUGGGCAUCUGCCUGUUUGGGAUUUGGUUGCCACACGGCCAUACUUGGGAUGGGUUGCUGAGUCCACGGAAUAA